GUAGGGAAUCUUCCACAAUGGACGAAAGUCUGAUGGAGCAACGCCGCGUGAGUGAAGAAGGUUCUCGGAUCGUAAAACUCUGUUGUGAGGGAAGAACAAGUACCGGAGUAACUGCCGGUACCUUGACGGUACCUCAUUAGAAAGCCACGGCUAACUACGUGCCAGCAGCCGCGGUAAUACGUAGGUGGCAAGCGUUGUCCGGAAUCAUUGGGCGUAAAGCGCGCGCAGGCGGUCCCUUAAGUCUGAUGUGAAAGCCCACGGCUCAACCGUGGAGGGUCAUUGGAAACUGGGGGACUUGAGUGCAGAAGAGGAAAGCGGAAUUCCAAGUGUAGCGGUGAAAUGCGUAGAGAUUUGGAGGAACACCAGUGGCGAAGGCGGCUUUCUGGGCUGUAACUGACGCUGAGGCGCGAAAGCGUGGGGAGCAAACAGGAUUAGAUACCCUAGUAGUCC
rnacentral:rRNA from 1 species